AUUGAACGCUGGCGGCAGGCCUAACACAUGCAAGUCGAACGGUAACAGGAAACAGCUUGCUGUUUCGCUGACGAGUGGCGGACGGGUGAGUAAUGUCUGGGAAACUGCCUGAUGGAGGGGGAUAACUACUGGAAACGGUAGCUAAUACCGCAUAACGUCGCAAGACUAAAGAGGGGGACCUUAGGGCCUCUUGCCAUCGGAUGUGCCCAGAUGGGAUUAGCUAGUAGGUGGGGUAACGGCUCACCUAGGCGACGAUCCCUAGCUGGUCUGAGAGGAUGACCAGCCACACUGGAACUGAGACACGGUCCAGACUCCUACGGGAGGCAGCAGUGGGGAAUAUUGCACAAUGGGCGCAAGCCUGAUGCAGCCAUGCCGCGUGUAUGAAGAAGGCCUUCGGGUUGUAAAGUACUUUCAGCGGGGAGGAAGGGAGUAAAGUUAAUACCUUUACUCAUUGACGUUACCCGCAGAAGAAGCACCGGCUAACUCCGUG
rnacentral:rRNA from 1 species